GACGAACGCUGGCGGCGUGCUUAACACAUGCAAGUCGAACGGAAAGGCCCUGCUUUUGUGGGGUGCUCGAGUGGCGAACGGGUGAGUAACACGUGAGUAACCUGCCCUUGACUUUGGGAUAACUUCAGGAAACUGGGGCUAAUACCGGAUAGGAGCUCCUGCUGCAUGGUGGGGGUUGGAAAGUUUCGGCGGUUGGGGAUGGACUCGCGGCUUAUCAGCUUGUUGGUGGGGUAGUGGCUUACCAAGGCUUUGACGGGUAGCCGGCCUGAGGGGGUGCCCGGCCACAUUGGGACUGAGAUACGGCCCAGACUCCUACGGGAGGCAGCAGUGGGGAAUAUUGCACAAUGGGCGGAAGCCUGAUGCAGCAACGCCGCGUGCGGGAUGACGGCCUUCGGGUUGUAAACCGCUUUCGCCUGUGACGAAGCGUGAGUGACGGUAAUGGGUAAAGAAGCACCGGCUAACUACGUG
rnacentral:rRNA from 1 species